rnacentral:rRNA from 1 species
UACAGAGGUCUCAAGCGUUGUUCGGAUUCAUUGGGCGUAAAGGGUGCGUAGGCGGCGCGGUAAGUCGGGUGUGAAAUUUCGAGGCUUAACUUCGAAACUGCAUUCGAUACUGCCGUGCUUGAGGACUGGAGAGGAGACUGGAAUUUACGGUGUAGCGGUGAAAUGCGUAGAUAUCGUAAGGAAGACCAGUGGCGAAGGCGGGUCUCUGGACAGUUCCUGACGCUGAGGCGCGAAAGCGUGGGGAGCAAACAGG